AAAUCAAAUAUACAAAAAUGAUAAAUUAUUUUCUGAUAUUCUCAAAUCACUCUCUUUCUGAUCCAGAUUUAAUACAAUAUUUUCAGUUAAUUACUGGAUUGGUUCUCUCUUCAGAUUUUGGAGGCUGGAACUGAACUAGAGUUAGCAGCAAAUUGCACCUGGAAACGUGGCAUACAAAGGAGACAUUUAAGUCUAUCAUGGUUCUCAAUGCCGAAAUUGGUCGCCUCGACUGGUACAUUGUUUAAAAUUUAAAUCUUAUCACAUAAUUUUAGUUUUUAUGAUCAAUUUUUAAUACAUUUCCACUAAUUUGACUUUAUUAGUUAAUAUAUAUUAGCGGACGUAUUAUUUUUCUAUUAAAUUUUGUACUAUAAA